UACAGAGGGUGCGAGCGUUAAUCGGAAUUACUGGGCGUAAAGCGUGCGUAGACGGUUAUUUAAGUCGGGUGUGAAAGCCCCGGGCUCAACCUGGGAAUUGCGUUCGAGACUGAAUAGCUAGGGUACGGUAGAGGGAAGCGGAAUUUCCGGUGUAGCGGUGAAAUGCGUAGAUAUCGGAAGGAACAUCAGUGGCGAAAGCGGCUUCCUGGACCAGUACCGACGUUCAGGCACGAAAGCGUGGGGAGCAAACAGG
rnacentral:rRNA from 1 species